AGGAUUCACCUGACUUCCAUUUCCAGCCUGCGAGAAGUUAAAAACGCUCAAGAAAAGAUGAUCAGAAAAUGCACUGCUCAAAAAAAUGAAGGGAUGCUCACAGCCCAGCACCGUGCAGCUCGACUGGCAUUCGCCAGAGAACACCAGAACUGGCAGAUCCACCACUGGCGCCCCGUCCUCUUCACAGAGAUUGGUGAGGGUUCCCUUAAUUCUUUUGAGCAGUGUAUAUAGAUAUAGAUAGAUUCUUCUGAUUGCAGAUCAGUUAAAGAAGGAAAUUAAGGAAAGGAAACAGGAGCGAUGAGUUCUGAACUGUCAGACAAGAGAUGAAACAUCUCCAAGAACAAAGAAGAAAUGCAGCUGCCUUUGAUCUAUGACCGAGGCUUCACUCGGAUCAUGUCAGCGCUGGUCAAAUAUAAUCUUGUGUUCUUUCA